CAGUCGCCGCGGGAAUACAGAGGGUGCGAGCGUUAAUCGGAUUUACUGGGCGUAAAGCGUGCGUAGGCGGCUUCUUAAGUCGGAUGUGAAAUCCCUGAGCUUAACUUAGGAAUCGCAUUCGAUACUGGGAAGCUAGAGUAUGGGAGAGGAUGGUAGAAUUCCAGGUGUAGCGGUGAAAUGCGUAGAGAUCUGGAGGAAUACCGAUGGCGAAGGCAGCCAUCUGGCCUAAUACUGACGCUGAGGUACAAAAGCAUGGGGAGCAAACAGGAUUAGAGACCCCGGUAGUCCCUGUCUCUUAUAC
rnacentral:rRNA from 1 species